GUGGUUUAAUUCGAUGCAACGCGAAGAACCUUACCUGGUCUUGACAUCCCGGAGACCCUUAGGAAACUAGGGGUGCUUCCAUCUGGAAGAAUCUGGAGACAGGUGCUGCAUGGCUGUCGUCAGCUCGUGUCGUGAGAUGUUGGGUUAAGUCCCGCAACGAGCGCAACCCUUGCCUUUAGUUGCCAGCAGUUCGGCUGGGCACUCUAAAGGGACUGCCGGUGUUAAACCGGAGGAAGGUGGGGAUGACGUCAAGUCCUCAUGGCCUUUAUGACCAGGGCUACACACGUACUACAAUGGCCGAUACAAAGGGCAGCGACACUGCGAGGUGAAGCCAAUCCCGUAAAAUCGGUCUCAGUCCGGAUUGGAGUCUGCAACUCAACUCCAUGAAGUUGGAAUCGCUAGUAAUCGUGGAUCAGCAUGCCACGGUGAAUACGUUCCCGGGCCUU
rnacentral:rRNA from 1 species